AACGAACGCUGGCGGCAUGCCUAGCACAUGCAAGUCGAACGAGACCUUCGGGUCUAGUGGCGCACGGGUGCGUAACGCGUGGGAACCUGCCCUUAGGUUCGGAAUAACUCCCCGAAAGGGGUGCUAAUACCGGAUAAUGUCUUCGGACCAAAGAUUUAUCGCCUUUGGAUGGGCCCGCGUUGGAUUAGCUAGUGGGUAGGGUAAAAGCCUACCAAGGCGACGAUCCAUAGCUGGUCUGAGAGGAUGAUCAGCCACACUGGGACUGAGACACGGCCCAGACUCCUACGGGAGGCAGCAGUGGGGAAUAUUGGACAAUGGGCGAAAGCCUGAUCCAGCAAUGCCGCGUGAGUGAUGAAGGCCUUAGGGUUGUAAAGCUCUUUUACCCGGGAUGAUAAUGACAGUACCGGGAGAAUAAGCUCCGGCUAACUCCGUG
rnacentral:rRNA from 1 species